GACGAACGCUGGCGGCGUGCUUAACACAUGCAAGUCGAACGGAAAGGCCUCUUUCGGGGGGUACUCGAGUGGCGAACGGGUGAGUAACACGUGAGUAACCUGCCCUUGACUUUGGGAUAACUUCAGGAAACUGGGGCUAAUACCGGAUAGGAGCUCCUGCUGCAUGGUGGGGGUUGGAAAGUUUCGGCGGUUGGGGAUGGACUCGCGGCUUAUCUGCGUGUUGGUGGGGUAGUGGCUUACCAAGGCUUUGACGGGUAGCCGGCCUGAGAGGGUGACCGGCCACAUUGGGACUGAGAUACGGGCCAGACUCCUACGGGAGGCAGCAGGUGGGAAUAUUGCACAAUGGGUGGAAGCCUGAUGCAGCAACGCCGGGUGCGGGAUGACGGCCUUCGGGUUGUAAACCGCUUUCGCUCAUGACGAAGCUUUGUGUGACGGUAGUGGGUAAAGAAGCACCGGCUAACUACGUG
rnacentral:rRNA from 1 species